rnacentral:rRNA from 1 species
AUUGAACGCUGGCGGCAGGCCUAACACAUGCAAGUCGAACGGUAGCACAGAGAGCUUGCUCUCGGGUGACGAGUGGCGGACGGGUGAGUAACGUCUGGGAAACUGCCCGAUGGAGGGGGAUAACUACUGGAAACGGUAGCUAAUACCGCAUAACGUCGCAAGACCAAAGUGGGGGACCUUCGGGCCUCACACCAUCGGAUGUGCCCAGAUGGGAUUAGCUAGUAGGUGGGGUAAUGGCUCACCUAGGCGACGAUCCCUAGCUGGUCUGAGAGGAUGACCAGCCACACUGGAUCUGAGACACGGUCGAGAGUCCUACGGGAGGCAGCAGUGGGGAAGAUUGCACAAUGGGCGCAAGCCUGAUGCAGCCAUGCCGCGUGUAUGAAGAAGGCCUUCGGGUUGUAAAGUACUUUCAGCGGGGAGGAAGGCGGUGAAGUUAAUAGCUUCACCGAUUGACGUUACCCGCAGAAGAAGCACCGGCUAACUCCGUGCCAGCCGCCGCCGUAA